UGUAUAGCGAAAGCUAGUUGUGCUUAAUUUAGCGAAAGCUAAUGUGGUGCAAUAUUGACUACGUCAAAUAAAGUUCUGGGUGGAUUUUGAUGGUGACAUUAUCUAUCUAUGUGUCUUGACCAAAUUACGUGCCAGCAGUCGCGGUAACACGUAAAAGACUAGUGUUAUUCAUCUUUAAUAGGUUUAAAGGGUACCUAGACAGCCUAUCAAGCCCCUAAAGUGGUACUAAUAGGCUAGAGUUUAAUAUAAGGAGGCAUGAAAGUACUGAGAACGUAUAGAGAUGAAAUUCUGUGAUACUAUAUAUGGCACUGGUAGAGGCGAAAGCAUCUUUUUAUGUAAAAACUGACGUUGAGGGACGAAGGCUUUGUGUAGCAAAAAGGAUUAGAUACCCAAGUAGUCUCAGCAGAAAAUGAUGAAUGUCAUAGGAUAGAUUAAUUUUUGUACUAUAAAUGAAAGUGUAAGCAUUCCACCUUAAGAGUAAUUUGGCAACAUUGGAACUGAAAUCAUUAGACCGUUUCUGAAACAAGUAGUGAAGUAUGUUGUUUAAUUUGAUGGUCCGCAAAAAACCUUACCACAAUUUGAAUAUAAAAAUUUUUAUACAAGCGCUGCACGGUUGUCUUCAGUUAAUGUCGUGAGACUUUGGUUAGUUCCAUUAAAUUAACGUAAACCCUUACUUUAUUUUUUAAUAGAGUUGUUCACCGCUAUAUUG
rnacentral:rRNA from 1 species